AUUGAACGCUGGCGGCAGGCCUAACACAUGCAAGUCGAACGAGUGGCGGACGGGUGAGUAAUGUCUGGGAAACUGCCUGAUGGAGGGGGAUAACUACUGGAAACGGUAGCUAAUACCGCAUACCAUCGGAUGUGCCCAGAUGGGAUUGGCUAGUAGGUGGGGUAAAGGCUCACCUGGGCGACGAUCCCUAGCUGGUCUGAGAGGAUGACCAGCAAAACUGGAAAGAGGAAACGGUCAAGACUCCUACGGGGGGCAGCAGUGGGGAAUAUUGGACAAGGGGGGCAAGCCUGAUGAAGCCAGGCCGCGUGUAUGAAGAAGGCUUUCGGGUUGUAAAGUACGUUCAGCGGGGAGGCGGUACCCGAAGAAGAAGCAACGGCUAACUCCGUGCCAGCAGCCGCGGUAAUAC
rnacentral:rRNA from 1 species